GAUGAACGCUAGCGGGAGGCCUAACACAUGCAAGCCGAGCGGUAGGGUCUCUUCGGAGACUUGAGAGCGGCGUACGGGUGCGUAACACGUGUGCAACCUGCCUCUAUCUGGGGGAUAGCCUUCCGAAAGGGAGAUUAAUACCCCAUAAUAUAAUGAUUGGCAUCAAUUAUUAUUGAAAACUCCGGUGGAUAGAGAUGGGCACGCGCAAGAUUAGAUAGUUGGUGGGGUAACGGCCCACCAAGGUCGAUGAUCUUUAGGGGUCCUGAGAGGGAGAUCCCCCACACUGGUACUGAGACACGGACCAGACUCCUACGGGAGGCAGCAGUGAGGAAUAUUGGACAAUGGGUGGAAGCCUGAUCCAGCCAUCCCGCGUGAAGGACGACGGCCCUAUGGGUUGUAAACUUCUUUUGUACAGGGAUAAACCUCCCCUCGUGAGGGGAGCUGAAGGUACUGUACGAAUAAGCACCGGCUAACUCCGUG
rnacentral:rRNA from 1 species